rnacentral:tRNA from 1 species
GAGUCUUGGCAGAGCGGCCGAAUGCAGCGCCCUGAUGAGGCGUAUCGCCGAAAGGCGACGCGGGUUCAAAUCCCGCAGGCUGGUCCCA